GAUUAUGGCUCGAGGACGAACGCUGGCGGCGUGCCUAACACAUGCAAGUCGAGCGGGGACAUUGCGACGGAGACGAAGUACUCGUACGGAGUCAAAGAUGUAAUGUCUAGCGGCGGACGGGUGAGUAACGCGUGAGCAACCUGUCCCUUACAGGGGGAUAACACAGCGAAAGUUGUACUAAUACCGCAUAAGACCACAGGAUGACAUCGUCCAGGGGUCAAAGGAGCAAUCCGGUAAGGGGUGGGCUCGCGUCCGAUUAGAUAGUUGGUGAGGUAACGGCCCACCAAGUCGACGAUCGGUAGCCGACCUGAGAGGGUGAUCGGCCACAUUGGGACUGAGACACGGCCCAAACUCCUACGGGAGGCAGCAGUGGGGAAUAUUGGGCAAAUGGGGGAAACCCUGACCCAGCAACGCCGCGUGAGGGAAGAAGGUUUUCGGAUCGUAAACCUCUGUCCCAGGUGAAGAGGAAGAGACGGUAGCCUGGGAGGAAGCCCCGGCUAACUACGUGCCAGCCGCGGC
rnacentral:rRNA from 1 species